AGACAGUGGUGCCUAUGUCGUAAAUUUGGCGGAGGGAUGCGUUCUGAGUGCUCUGUUUUGUGUCGGCUCACGCGUUUUUUCUUGGGCGCUGCGCCUUUAAGAAGUCUGUUGAGUUCAUCGAUGACGGCAUCCUUUUAUUUUUAUCGCAGUGACCUCAUCGUUUAUGGCAGCAGGACUUCAGCGACAACUUUAGUGCGACUACUUUCUGUUUAAAACUUCUUGAAGUAGAAACAGAAGCCAACUCUGUUUUUUUAUCGUGUCGCACUCCGUGUUUAAACCGUGUCGGACGGUUAGCGCGGAGCUGGGACUUUUAACGUCGAAGUUUCAAAGGGAUGAAUACUGAUAAAGCAUGAAGAACAAGGUGCCGGCGGGGUGACGUCCUCGGCGCUCAACUCAGUCUGGACCAGAAGACCUCUUUUGUCUCAGGCCUUCUGUGGUGUGAAUAACCCCCCCCC